CAUUGCUGCCUCCCUGCCUCUCCCUCUCCUAUGGGCACUGCAUCUGCCUACAUUAACCAUAAUCCUCUCCUGCUUACGUCACAUACCCAGAUGUGACGAUGACCCUGUUGUAUUCAUCCCCUUAACCUCUUCCUGUCCCACCUCCCGCCCUUGGCCUAUAAAAGAUAUGAUCAUUUCCUGAAUAAACGGAGGCUUGAUUGGAUUAUUUCAACUUGCUUUCAUCUCUCUUUGUCUCCCCUAUGUCUUUUAUUUAAUCCCCGUUCCCCCUUCAGGAAUUUCCCAUGGAUUGAUCUGCGGGCCAGAUCAAGUGGCGCUCAGCGUGGGGGCUCCUGGCACAGAGGAGUUAACAAGGGAGCCUUCAACAGACAGCCGGCUUAAACUGAAAGUGAAAGCAAAUUGAACCAGAGACCUCUGCCGAGGAGUGAGCAAACUGAAUCAAGGAUUAAAGCUUAAAGCAACAGGACAUUAAAUCAAGUACUGAGGCCUGUGCAGACAACUACCCAACGUCCUGCCCGAGUCAUGGUGACACAAUCCCCCGGAGCCUUAUGCUGUCUACUCGGCCUUCUCCUUGAGCCAUACCACACCCAUGGUGGAUUUCAACCCCUGCCAAACAGACUACAACUGCUGACAGCCAUGCACAGAACCCCUGUGACUGUGGAAGAGGCUUUUCUCAGUCUGGAGGAACAUACACCAGCCAAAUAGACUGCAUCCAGUGUUAUGUGAGGCAUGUUCCAAGACAUAGGAGAACGACUUCAACAGAGACACCAACAAAUGGCUGUCAACCCCUUCUCCUCGAUGUGUGUGUGUGUGUGGGGGGGGGAGUUUUUCCCUUACCUAGUGCCCGUUUUGGGUCCCCUAGCUGCCCUAUUGUUUCUCAUUUCUGUGAGUCCUUGUAUUUUUCAGAGGAUUAUGAUGCUCAUUAAUAACCAGACAGACGCGUUUAUGGCAAAGCCCAUUCAGGUACACUAUCAUCAGCUGGAGAUGGCAGAUCAACAAACCUACCGGGAAGGAAUUCCCACGAGUGGCCCAUAUGACGAUGCAGCCUAACUGUCCUGGGGCAAUGGACAGGCAGUCAGAGACAGGCAACUAGGACAUGCAUGUUAAUUCCAUCGGCCACCUAAGACAGGCACAGGACCAACUGCUGUUCUGCAAGCCCAUGACAGGUAAGGCCUGGUUGGGUUCAUGCAAUGAGGUCCUUGACCUAAGACAGACGCUGUCUGGCAGGGCCUGCCAUACUCUUGAUUAAAUAAAAUAAAAAGGGAGGAGAUGUAGGGAGCCGAGUGACAGCCCAUUGCUGCCUCCCUGCCUCUCUCCUAUGGGCACUGCGUCUGCCUACAUUAACCAUAAUCCUCUCCUGCUUACGUCACAUACCCAGAUGUGACGAUGACCCUGUUGUAUUCAUCCCCUUAACCUCUUCCUGUCCCACCUCCCGCCCUUGGCCUAUAAAAGAUGUGAUCAUUUCCUGAAUAAACAGAGGCUUGAUCGAA